rnacentral:sRNA from 1 species
UCAUCACCACCAUCAUCAUCACCACCAUCAUCAUCAUCAUCAUCACCAUCUUGCCUUAACAAACAUUUCAGCACCACCUUGCUAAUUGCAAAUUAUGGGAAAAUGUAGAUUCUCUCACAAUGUCUUCAGAAGUGGCUCACUCGGAAAGGCAUGAAGUACAGAUCAUAUUCUGUGAUAAUAUCUGUGGAUAUGUUUGACUGAUUUGUUUUUUGGUUGCUAAAAUCUGACAUUUCACAAAAAUUUGACUUGAGAUUAAUUUACGACUUGAAGUUCCUGAAUACCAACAGUAUUGCCCAGUCAGUUUCCAGGGACUCGGUCAUUUCUCUGCAGUGUCCCUUAAGGAAGCAUUGUUUAAACUGAGAUAGCAUUUUUCUCCUAAAGUUGAAAAAAUUAAAAGUCAAGUUUCAAUACUAUGUGAGAGAAUUCUACAACAUGCUGAGUUUUAUGUCCCUUCACAAACAUGCCAUUCUCGACAGGGCUGGUUUUGGAAGGGCGUGUCUCUGAUCAUUGGCAUGUGACAUUAACCUUUCUGGAGAAGCACUGGACUUGGAUAUUAAAGAGGUAUCUCAAUUAAGUCCAGUUUGCUUUUCUUUGCCUGGGGCAGAGAAAAAGACUCUUAAGUCAUGAGAAGACUCGUUCAGAAUUAGGAAGACCAUCUGAGUCAUUAGAAUAGAAAUAAGAAGGUAGGACCAGAAAAGUAGAAAAAUCACCCGAAACUUCGAAUAAGGCAAAGAGAAUACCAUGAGGCUCUUCAAAUUCAUGUCAAGUUUUCUAACCUAGACCUCAAACACGUAAAAAACCAACAGUGUAAUAGUCUCGUAUUUGGACUCCUGUAUAUUUGCAUACUGUGUAAAACAAAUGAGAGUGUCAAAACCCAGGGCAGAACCAGGGAGCUUCGAGCUGGCUACUUCAUUAGCCAGGCCAGCUUUAAUUGAGCUGCUCAAUGUCGCUCAGUAACUAAGUCAAGCUGGAGCAAGUCCAAAGCCAAUGUCUUCCUUUUAUGGAUAGUGAGGCUUCUCAGCUACAGUCUGAGCAUUCUUUGCCAAUUAAUUAGAAUCCUAUUAGCAUGGUAUCCCACUAACUAAUGGAUGCAUAAAAUAAUAACACGGUACAUAUGCCCAUCAUUUUAAAGUCUAGAAAUGAACUCUCACUCGUCUCAACUCCUUAACCUUAAAGACAGAAUAUUGUCAUCUUCAUUUUACAAAUAAUUUCUUUACUCUCUAAAACUCAAAGCUUACACUGGAACUCAAGACUGUUGAUUUGAACAAUGGGAUUAACACACCUAGAGUUUAAUCUAUGGGUCGAUCUUGUUCUUGCUAGAUGAGUGAUCUUGGGUGAAGCAUCUAAACUUUUCUCAGGGGAACGAACACAGGACUAACUCUGUGUGAUGAGCAUUAAAGCGUGCUUUUGUUGACAGUUCUAACAUGUUGGCUGGGUCAUAGUAAUUACUCAAUAAACUGUUCAUUAUAACCCAAGAGCCAUGUUCCUGAACAAGAGCAAUAAACGAAUCAUUUAGUUCCAUUGUCUUGGUUGGGGGGAAUGACAGCCAUUGUGGUUUUAUGGUAUCGUUGAUACAUAUCUCCAGGAGUCUUCCAUUUAAAGUGAGUGGGGCUUAAAAAUAUUGAAGAGAAAAAAUUUCAAGGCUGUUUGAAUGCAGUCACGAUUCCUGCUUUAACUUUCUUUCCUUCUCUGGGACUUCUUGUGACUUCCACCAAAGUUUACUUAACCUUUCAGGAAAGUCCUCGACAUAUUAGAGCCAUGUGAAAGAGGAGGAUUAAAGAAACCAGCAUCACAGGUUGCCAGGCCUGGAAAAUGGAUUUCAAACUUGGAAUCCUUAAGCUUUAGGUCCCAUCCAGAGACAGCAAAUCUGGGGCAGAACAACAAGCAGAUAAACGUUGAGGCAAGCCAGGGCAAACAUAAUCGUUGGGAGUCCAUGCUGAAGACGCAUUGAAAAGAGACAGGGACAGCUCUGUGCAGGGAAGAGUGCGGAGGCCGAGGAGUCAGCAAGGAGGAGCCCUGCAUUCAAUAAGGGCAAAGCCCCUGUAAGAACUGGGAACACAGACCAGGGACAGGUCUACUCUAAAUGAGGUAUGCCAGGGCCUCUAAAGGGGUGUUCUUUCCAUGACCCCACUCUCUCCCCUCUUCUCUUUCUGAAACAACCCCACUAGACAAAUAGUGCUGUACCACCCACAGCCCCUUUACCACAAAGAAUAUACAUUUUUCUUUUUUCCUUCCCUCUUUUUCUUAUUAGAUGAGCUUAUUCUCUGUAUGAAGAGACUUUUAGGAAUUUCGCUGGUAAACAAUUAAAUCCAAGAACCUUCCUAUCCUGGGAUCACCUUAGCUGAAACUUACUCGGAGGGUGAAUAACACUACAAGUCCAGCCUUGAAGAACAGUUCAUCUCCUAAUGUCCUUGAUGGAGGAACGGGAUGAGUACCACCAUAUUCAAGAAUAUCAUAUACUGAGAAUCGUACCUUUAAUUCUAGCUGCUAGAUGGCUGGGCGUUAAAAUGUCCACAAAGACCUGUUUUGAAAAGCACCUGGAGGAUUUCUCCCACACUUGGUAAGUUUAACCUGAUGGGGACAUUUCAGAUUCAAACCAUAGAACCUUCCCAUCAACUAGAACAUUCUCUUGACUCCAGCAGGCAUUCACUGAAUGUAUCAUCACUGCAUUAUAAAACAAGAGCAUAGCAUGCAUGAGGGCAGGAAGCCUGUUCUUCUUUAGUCCCUCUGUGGUACAACCCCUCUCCUUUGGGAGCAAGAAAAAUUAUGAAGUUGCCUUCAUGGAGGUCUUUUUGGGAACCUUAACAUGAGUUUUUAAUGAUCAGCCGAAGUCCCCAGGAGUCAAGGGACUUUACCACUAAUGAGCCCCACCCGAUAAGCAGUCUUUGGCCUCUGAGCUGCCAAAGUGUAGACAGGCCAGAGAAGUAAAACUUUUAAGUCAGCCUUAUCUCUUGGUAUUUUGCCAACUCUGUGGAGGUCCUGGAUUGUGUCCCUUGCCUGGAGGCACCAACAUAGGUUUUCCCUAAAGGAAGCUCAAAUUCAUGCGGCCUUAGGUCGUCCCAGGAGAGAAAGAAGGAGAAGAUAAGCAAUUGUUCGAGAAGCACCUUAGGAAACUGUACUGGGGUGGCACCCUAAGAAGCUAAAAAGCAGGGUAAAGUAACCCCCGUCCUUUGCCUCUGCCUCCUACCAAAGUUGUACUUGCCAUGACAGAGAAUUUGAAAAUACCAUGCGUCAGAAGAAGAGUCUAAAAUUAUCCCCUCCUGUCAUUAAAAGAGUAACCGUUAGCAUAUCAGACCUAAGGUUUUGUGUUUUGGGGGAUAAAGAAAGCACACACCCACACACUCGUGCAUGCACGCAUGCUCACGAAUGAUCUUUGAGACCAGCCUAGCCACAUAAUUAAGCUCUAGAAACAUCUUACGUGUUAGUGGGAGAUUGCUUGCCAGUUCACUUCAAGUACCUGCAUUUGGUUUGGAAACAGAUUUAAAAAGUUGUCAGAGCUGGGCAUGGGGGUGGCAUAACCCUUUAAUCCCAGCACUCAGAAGGCAAAGGCAGGUGGAUCUCUGUGAGUUCAAGGCCAGCCUGGUCUACAAAGUGAGUCCAGGACAGCCAGGGUUGGUUGCACUGAGAAACUCCAUAUCGAAACAAAACAAAACAAAAGCAACAAAGCAAAACAAUGGCAACAAAAAGCAAAAUACAAUAACAAAGUUGUCAGACUACUUUUAUGUUUAAUUCUCUUGUUUUUCUAAUUAAUUAAUUAAUUAAUUGUGGAAAAAGUAUUAUCCCAGGUGCUUAGAGCAUGGACUCUAGUGUGGGUUUGAAGUCUGACUUCGGUCAUUGUUUUGGGGACGUAAGCCUAGGCCAGUGAUUUUAUAAGGCCGCGUCAUCAAAUAAGAGCAAUAGCUAAUUCAUGGGUCUUUUGAAAGGAUGCCUUUGGGUGGUCCAUGUGGCCCUUCAUGCACAGGAAAUUCUCUGUACAUAUUAUAUAUAAAAGCCUAGCUAAAGAAAAAUAAAACCUUCAAACCUACCUUCUAGAGAUAACAUGUUAAUUGUAAGGACACAUUUGUGUUUCUGUAACCAAUAGAUGGCAGGUACCUUCUCCUGACAAAAAAUGUAUAUUGCUCAAAAGUAUGUCAAAUAUGCUAAUGACCACAGAAAGUUCCACUGAUACAAAUAUGCCAGGAUUCUCUUGUGAAAGAAAAGAAAAUCACAGAAGGCACUGUAGAACACAAAGCCUCGGGCUUCUGCCCAGUCAAAUCCUCCCUGUGCGCGUUGGACGACACCAGUGUGGAAUAAUCUUGCCACAAACUUGGACUCUACAAUGUCAGGAAGGAUCUAAGAACCUCGUCCCGAUUGAUUUCCAAGCCGGAGCUGACCUUGAUUGUCCCAGGACGUCACCCUCACCUGAGCACUCUGCUCUUGACAUGGAGAAGAAACAAAAUUGGAAACAGUUGAAUUCCUCUGGCGGCUCCUGCUGACUAAGCAGGCGAGGGACCCCACUGCAGAGUUCAUGGUGGUUUUGGCAGAGCAGGAUUCCCUCCCGAGGUUCCAGCCUCCUGGGGGCCAGAUGAGGGGCGGGCUUGUUUACACAGCAUCUCAGACCAAACAGCUGGGGGACGGCAACCAUUUAAUUCUGCCCUGCUGACUUGAGAAGGAAUUUGGUUACACCACACAAGGGAGAGGCUUCCUCAGCUCAUUCCUCACUUUGUGUGUCUCUUCCUUUCCCCCCUUUCCUGUCUUAAAAUUUUCCUCCCCCUGUCUCUUUAUUACCCCUCUGCUCUUCCUUUUUCAACUUUCCCCUCUUUUCUUUACUUCCAAAACAAAGUGCUAUGGGAGGAUGCUUAAGACAGACAGAAGUCCUUUAUUUUUAGAGCCGGGAGAAUUUUUAUCCCCAAAGAUCUGUUAGUAAAAUAAAUGGGAUUAAUCUUUCUCAUUCGGGCAAAACAUGAACCUCACACUGGUCUUAGAGAUGCUGUUUUUGGAAAGAAAGGAUUGGGGUUCCUCAGGGAGUCUGACCCAGCUACACCAGUUGUAAAGUCCGCCCAUUUCCAAGCAAAGGAGAGGAAUUGGAGCCCAGCACAGGGUGGCUAAUUCUGAGGAGACUUUAUCCACAUACUGCCUGGGACGGAAAACCACAGCCUUAAUUAAAAUUUUCAAUUCAAUCCCAUUGUUUAUUAAGAAGGCAAUAGAGAGCCCAGGGGGUCAAAUAGACAAACCCCAACUCAGCCACUGAGAUGCUGUGUGUCUUCAAGAAUAUGACUCUUCCUCCGGAAGCCCACAGAGCUCUCCUUUUGGAGGUAAGACUAACCGGAGUGGGUGGACAUCUGUUUGGGUUGUGUGUCCCAGGUAUUUAGCAUAGAAGAGUGACCAGGAGAGGCAGUUUGGAGCCUUUGAGUGAUUCUUCAUUGUUCAGUGAGCUGUGGAUCCCUUCACUGAGUCACCAUUUCAGCCUUGCUCUCAUAAGGAAAAAACACACAUCUGUGUAUCAAAUGAGCUUGCUAAAAUAAAAGUGCAUACUGUCUGGAAUAUUUUAUUGAUCUAUCAAAAGUAAACCACUGAAAGAGGAAGCAGCUUAGGGCAGAGGAGCGACUGGAGCCCUGCAGGCUCCUGGCCAUCCCUGCCAAACCCCCUUCCUACAGUCUCCUAAAAUACGAGUGGGUAAUUGGAUGCCGUAUCCUACGAUCAUCUCCCCCUAGUCUUUAGAAUCCACAUUUUUCUCAUUUUUGAAAACUGGAGUAGCAUAUUCUUGUCUCCAAUAGCCUGGCUUCCAUCCCAGUCUCUGAUUUCUUUAAGCACACUGACAGUGGUUUUGUAAUCACAUCUGCAAGUCUUUUCUGUAUUCUAGAAUUUAAUCCAACUUGAACUCAUUAAGUAUCCAGUUCCUCUGCUAUUAUCUCUUGUGCAAAUUUUUUGUCUAUAAACCUCCUCUCUAAAAUGCUUCUUAACCAAAAAAAAUCCACCAACAUAUAUGUAAUGUAUGAUGGCUGGACUUAUACAAAAGCUAUAGUUAGAUCAAAUAAAGUUGUUUUAAAAACCUG